CCGACGUGACCAAACCCUGUAGGUCUACUUUGGAUGAUUGAAACUGUAAUUGCAGCAUAGCCAGUCUAAUCACAGAGGCUUCUAUGGUUGUGUGUUUGUGACUGCACAAUGGCGGGGGUCCAGGCCUUAUCCGCGCGUGUCCGUCUAUCUUUGCAGGUGAUGAUCGGAUCUCAGGCGGCAGCUCGUGUGUGAUUGUGUUUGAGGAAUCCGGCCCCCCCCCGUCUUCCAAUCUGUCCAUCUCUCAGCGCUCUUGUAGCGGCGGAUGAGAGUCCCGCCUCUCUUCAGCAGAAGCAGCACCAUUGAUCGGCCAGAUGGACUGCCACAAAAUUCAUGUUUUCAACCAUCAUGUGCUCUAUGACACCUAAUGAUCCCAUUAGUUUUCCUCCACUGCCACCAAAAGACAUCCUCAACGGUGACGUUUGGCUCCUACGAGAAAAAGUCGAAACAGAAAAGGGUGGAGACUGGCCAUGUGACUCCGCCAAUGGCGACGCGAUCUGUCAGCAAUCAGCAAACCCAGAAGAAGAUAGAAUCAGUAAACGGCAGUCAAGUCAAGCAAGACCGACCCUAAAGUCUUCUUUUUGGAGGAAGGGGGAGGUUCCAGCUUCUACACAAACGGAGCCUCCUCUGUCAUCACCACCACCACCAUCUUUGUUGAUUCAAGUUACAAUAAUAUGUGGUCCAACUACGUGGAACUAUGUUCUUACGGUCUUAAUUGCUGUAUCAAUCCGCAUGUUAAAGUGUGUAUUUAUAUGUGCUUCGUAUUUGUAUUUUUAGGGCUG
ensembl:lncRNA